rnacentral:tRNA from 2 species
GCCUCAGUAGCUCAGCUGGUAGAGCACUGGAUUUGUAAUCCAGCGGUCGGGGGUUCGAUUCCCUCCUGGGGCU